rnacentral:tRNA from 1 species
GAGGGUAUAGCUCAGUGGUAGAGCGCAUGCUUAGCAUGCAUCAGUUCCUGGGUUCAAUCCCCAGUACCUCCU